rnacentral:rRNA from 1 species
CCUACGGGUGGCUGCAGUGGGGAAUAUUGGACAAUGGGCGAAAGCCUGAUCCAGCCAUGCCGCGUGUGUGAAGAAGGCCUUCGGGUUGUAAAGCACUUUCAGUGGGGAAGAAAGCCUUGGGGCUAAUACCCUCGAGGAAGGACAUCACCCACAGAAGAAGCACCGGCUAACUCCGUGCCAGCAGCCGCGGUAAUACGGAGGGUGCGAGCGUUAAUCGGAAUUACUGGGCGUAAAGCGCGCGUAGGCGGUCUGAUAAGCCGGUUGUGAAAGCCCCGGGCUCAACCUGGGAACGGCAUGCGGAACUGUCAGGCUAGAGUGCAGGAGAGGAAGGUAGAAUUCCCGGUGUAGCGGUGAAAUGCGUAGAGAUCGGGAGGAAUACCAGUGGCGAAGGCGGCCUUCUGGACUGACACUGACGCUGAGGUGCGAAAGCGUGGGUAGCAAACAGGAUUAGAUACCCCUGUAGUC